rnacentral:lncRNA from 1 species
CAUCCUGCCUCCAGGGAGAAACGCCUGUUUAGAGAAAAACCUUUGGUAGUGAUUUUUUUUUUUUUUUUUUUUUUUAUGAGAGCAAGAUAGGGGAAAAGGAUUGCUUUUUAAGUGUUUAUUAGUGUACAUGUUGUAAAUUUAUACAAAGGGGGGAAAAGGUCAAAGAACAGCACUUAGAGCAGAAGGUGAUGAAGGGGUACGCUGGUUCACAGACUGUGUGGAAUCACUCCAUGGUGCUAGUGUGCCUUUCAGGAAAGCUCUGCUGUGAUCACCAUUGUGCCUUGAAGCUGCCAACCCCUUCCUGCUGUAUUGGAUGAUUAUGAGCAGGAGCACAUAUCAAGAGCCAAGGCCUGGGAUCGCUAUCAGUGAGAAAGACCAACGCUUUGAAUGUGACAACCAAAAUUCUACCAGAGGGCAGCAUGGACAGCACCAACCUGACCAUCUUUUCUUAGGAAGCUUUUCCACAGAUGAAAGGAUAACCAGCAUCCUAGCUUUGACUGCUGAUGGUCUAGAAACACAGAGACAAUCAGCUCAGAAACCAUUCCCCUGCAUUCUCACCAUCAGUUCCUGGUAUGACAGCCUUUCUACAAACACUACUUGACUGAAGUUCGGAAAGGGAAAAUUAAUUUUCAGAAUCAUGGAGGACUGGUUCUAGGACUGAACUUCCCUGGUACGCUUGUGUGCCUCUCAUCACUCCUAUUGCAGUCUACCCCCUCCUCAGAAACAGGACAAGCUUACCGUUUCUUUCCUUCAGAAGUUCUGGUGUUAGUCUAUAGAUGAGCAACCACCGAACCCCGGGAAUCACCUCAUGUUAUGGAUGUCAUCAAGACCUUGCAGUCCGAAUUUCAGAGGAAUUUGGAUCCACCCUUUCAAGAGACAUCACAUGUUACAAAUUAACCACAUAGCAUGUAUAAGUGGAACACCCUUCAACCUGUAAUCAUGUUCUGGAUGGUCCUCUCAAA